rfam:Flavobacterium sp. EM1308 contig00052, whole genome shotgun sequence.
UCAUAGCCCAGAUGGAAGUGAAAAGCCCACAGUCCCGUUGUUUAAUUUUUAUGAGUGACUCAAAAGCAACUGGAAGAAGCUUAUGAGACGCUUUAGAAAAAUAAACAACGGGGCGCGGACUUGAAACGUACAGCUGGAAAUAGC